UUUGACUAGGUGCUUCUAUAUAAGCAGUAUAAACAAAAUUUAGGAGCAAUAACAACUACACAAUUUGAGUAGCAGCUCUUAUGUGAAAACUAAAUAUUACAAUGAAAGAUAUGAAAAUGUUGUUAUGUAUCGGGAUCUUGUGUUCAACAUGUUGUGAUGAGGCCUUUAUAUAGGUUUUAGAGAUGAUACUGUUGGAGGGAGAUCAAAG
rnacentral:lncRNA from 1 species